rnacentral:misc_RNA from 1 species
GGGGGUGGGAAGGGGGGGAAUCUUGCCUAUAAACCAAGCAUCCUCUCUCUACUCAGUAAUGGAAGGCAGAUGUAGAUGCAAAACUUUGACCCCCAGGGGAAUGAACAUUCAAAGGGAAAGACGGGAUGGCAAAAUAACUUUUUGAUUAACAUCUUACCAUCCCAAGUUAAAAAAGGGAAAAAAAAUUGUCAAGAAUGCCAUGGCUGAUUCUAAAUCUGGAAUGCAUAGAUGAUUCCCCUUGCUUCGAAAUGGUUACAUUGUGAAGGCAAUAUGCACAUGAGAAAACAAUUAUCCUGAUGAUCUCCAGAUC